GUGCCUUUUGUAGAAUGAACCGGCGAGUUACGAUCCCGUGCGAGGUUAAGCUGAAGAGGCGGAGCCGCAGCGAAAGCGAGUCUGAAUAGGGCGUUUAGUACGUGGUCGUAGACCCGAAACCAGGUGAUCUACCCAUGUCCAGGGUGAAGUUCAGGUAACACUGAAUGGAGGCCCGAACCCACGCACGUUGAAAAGUGCGGGGAUGAGGUGUGGGUAGCGGAGAAAUUCCAAUCGAACCUGGAGAUAGCUGGUUCUCCCCGAAAUAGCUUUAGGGCUAGCCUUAAGUGUAAGAGUCUUGGAGGUAGAGCACUGAUUGGACUAGGGGUCCUCAUCGGAUUACCGAAUUCAGUCAAACUCCGAAUGCCAAUGACUUAUCCUUAGGAGUCAGACUGCGAGUGAUAAGAUCCGUAGUCAAAAGGGAAACAGCCCAGACCGCCAGCUAAGGUCCCAAAGUGUGUAUUAAGUGGAAAAGGAUGUGGAGUUGCUUAGACAACUAGGAUGUUGGCUUAGAAGCAGCCACCAUUUAAAGAGUGCGUAAUAGCUCACUAGUCGAGUGACUCUGCGCCGAAAAUGUACCGGGGCUAAAUACACCACCGAAGCUGCGGAUUGAUACCAAUGGUAUCAGUGGUAGGGGAGCGUUCUAAGGACAGUGAAGUCAGACCGGAAGGACUGGUGGAGUGCUUAGAAGUGAGAAUGCCGGUAUGAGUAGCGAAAGACGGGUGAGAAUCCCGUCCACCGAAUGCCUAAGGUUUCCUGAGGAAGGCUCGUCCGCUCAGGGUUAGUCAGGACCUAAGCCGAGGCCGACAGGCGUAGGCGAUGGACAACAGGUUGAUAUUCCUGUACCACCUCUUUAUCGUUUGAGCAAUGGAGGGACGCAGAAGGAUAGAAGAAGCGUGCGAUUGGUUGUGCACGUCCAAGCAGUUAGGCUGAUAAGUAGGCAAAUCCGCUUAUCGUGAAGGCUGAGCUGUGAUGGGGAAGCUCCUUAUGGAGCGAAGUCUUUGAUUCCCCGCUGCCAAGAAAAGCUUCUAGCGAGAUAAAAGGUGCCUGUACCGCAAACCGACACAGGUAGGCGAGGAGAGAAUCCUAAGGUGUGCGAGAGAACUCUGGUUAAGGAACUCGGCAAAAUGACCCCGUAACUUCGGGAGAAGGGGUGCUUUCUUAACGGAAAGCCGCAGUGAAUAGGCCCAAGCGACUGUUUAGCAAAAACACAGCUCUCUGCGAAGCCGUAAGGCGAAGUAUAGGGGGUGACACCUGCCCGGUGCUGGAAGGUUAAGGAGAGGGGUUAGCGUAAGCGAAGCUCUGAACUGAAGCCCCAGUAAACGGCGGCCGUAACUAUAACGGUCCUAAGGUAGCGAAAUUCCUUGUCGGGUAAGUUCCGACCCGCACGAAAGGUGUAACGAUUUGGGCACUGUCUCAACCAGAGACUCGGUGAAAUUAUAGUACCUGUGAAGAUGCAGGUUACCCGCGACAGGACGGAAAGACCCCGUGGAGCUUUACUGUAGCCUGAUAUUGAAUUUUGGUACAGUUUGUACAGGAUAGGCGGGAGCCUUUGAAACCGGAGCGCUAGCUUCGGUGGAGGCGCUGGUGGGAUACCGCCCUGACUGUAUUGAAAUUCUAACCUACGGGUCUUAUCGACCCGGGAGACAGUGUCAGGUGGGCAGUUUGACUGGGGCGGUCGCCUCCUAAAGUGUAACGGAGGCGCCCAAAGGUUCCCUCAGAAUGGUUGGAAAUCAUUCGUAGAGUGCAAAGGCAUAAGGGAGCUUGACUGCGAGACCUACAAGUCGAGCAGGGACGAAAGUCGGGCUUAGUGAUCCGGUGGUUCCGCAUGGAAGGGCCAUCGCUCAACGGAUAAAAGCUACCCCGGGGAUAACAGGCUUAUCUCCCCCAAGAGUCCACAUCGACGGGGAGGUUUGGCACCUCGAUGUCGGCUCAUCGCAUCCUGGGGCUGUAGUCGGUCCCAAGGGUUGGGCUGUUCGCCCAUUAAAGCGGUACGCGAGCUGGGUUCAGAACGUCGUGAGACAGUUCGGUCCCUAUCCGUCGUGGGCGUAGGAAAUUUGAGAGGAGCUGUCCUUAGUACGAGAGGACCGGGAUGGACGCACCGCUGGUGUACCAGUUGUUCUGCCAAGGGCAUAGCUGGGUAGCUAUGUGCGGAAGGGAUAAGUGCUGAAAGCAUCUAAGCAUGAAGCCCCCCUCAAGAUGAGAUUUCCCAUAGCGUAAGCUAGUAAGAUCCCUGAAAGAUGAUCAGGUUGAUAGGUUCGAGGUGGAAGCAUGGUGACAUGUGGAGCUGACGAAUACUAAUAGAUCGAGGACUUAACCAU
rnacentral:rRNA from 1 species